GGGCGCGGGAGGAAGUCACGUGGGCGAGCGGGCUCACAUGACUGGCCGCGCGAUGGACCCGCUGCCCUCGCCGGCAGUCGCUGCAGCAGCUGAGGCGGAGGCUGACGAGGAGGCGGAUCCGCCGGCGACAGGCCCACAAACAUCCCAGGUCACCGAGUGGAGGAACCUGGACCCCAGGCGAAUGCAGAUGCCUCAGGGGAAUCCGUUGCUGCUGUCCUACACCCUGCAGGAGCUGCUGGCCAAGGACACGGUGCAGGUGGAGCUCAUCCCUGAGAAGAAGGGCCUGUUCCUUAAGCAUGUGGAGUACGAGGUUUCCAGCCAGCGCUUCAAGUCCUCCGUGUACAGACGCUACAAUGACUUCGUGGUCUUCCAUGAAGUGCUGCUUCACAAGUUCCCGUACCGCAUGGUACCAGCCCUUCCACCCAAGAGAGUGCUGGGAGCCGACCGGGAGUUCAUCGAGGGCCGCCGGAGGGCCCUGAAGCGCUUCAUCAACCUGGUGGCCCGGCACCCGCCCUUCUCUGAGGAUGUGCUCCUGAAGCUCUUCCUCUCCUUCAGUGGCUCAGAUGUUCAGCACAAGCUCAAGGAGGCGGCCCAGUGCGUGGGAGAUGAGUUCACGAACUGUAAGCUGGCUGCUAGGGCCAAGGACUUCCUCCCAGCUGACAUCCAGACUCAAUUUGCCAUGAGCCGGGAGCUGAUUCGAAAUGUCUACAACAGCUUCUACAAACUUCGAGACAGAGCCGAGCGGAUUGCGUCCCGGGCCAUUGACAACGCUGCUGAUCUUCUCAUAUUCGGGAAGGAGCUCAGUGCUUUGGGUUCCGACACCACCCCUCUGCCCUCCUGGGCUGCUCUGCACCUCAGCACGUGGGGCUCCCUGAAGCAAGCGCUCAAGGGCCUGUCCGUGGAGUUUGCUUUGCUUGCAGACAAAGCUGCACAGCAGAGACAGGGUCUCACUGUGUAACCCUGGAUGGUAGCCCUGGACUCCUGGAGACCCACCUGCCUUUCCCCUUCAAAUGCUGGGAUUAACAGCUGUACCACCAUGCCCUUGCUGACCAUUUUCUUUUUUAAGUAUACAUGUGUGCCCCCUUGCGUGCAUGUGCCAUGACAUGCUUGUGGAGGCCAGAGAACAACUUUCGAGGUCAUUUCUCUUCUUCUGCCCCUGUGGGCCCUGGGCAUUGAACUCGGGUCAUCAGCCUUGGUGAUGAACUUCUCUAUUGGACUAACCUGCUGAGCCCUCUUACCAGCCCCAGGCUUCUUUGUUUUAUCAGUGUAACUGUCCUGUAAGCCCUCCAUACUCAGCAGGAAGCCUCAGCCCAGGUGCCAGGUCCUGCACAGCACAGGACAGCUAUCUCUAGAUUCCUAAGGACUUUCUGAUUUAGCUGCCUGUGCCUUCAUUUUGAAGCUGGAGUAUGCGUCUGCAGUUCCGGAUGGCGAGUGCGCAGCUUGAGGCUCCUCCCAACGCUGUGUUUCUUUGACACUUGACUUCUCUAUUGGAACUUACCUUAGGGGAAUGGACUGCUUCCCGUCUUCUUCUCCCAGUCCUUAUGCUGAAGUUAGUGGGAUUUUGUUUUGCUUAGUUUAGGGUCUGAGAUUUCAAGCGAGGGGUGAGUUCUCCGUUUGUUCUUGAAGCUGGCCUGCUACUCACUUUGUAGCUAAGCCUGGCCUUGUACCUAUGGCCCUCCUACCUUGGCCUCCCGAGUGCUGAGAUUACAGGUGUGCACCAGCAUGGCCGGCUUGGUGUGUGCAUGAGCCCAGAGCUCAGAGGGGGAUGUAGGGAGUCUUCCUUCAUCAUCAUGCGCUGUUCCCUUGAAACAGGGGCUCUCACUGCACCUGAGCUAGGUGUGUGGCCAGCAAGCCCCCCUGCUCUCCGCUUCACAGCAUCUGGGUACAGUUGUGCAAGCGGCCAGUGAGCUUUACACGAGCCUGGGGAUCUGUACUCAGGUCCUCAUGCCUGUGUAGCAAGUACUAUUACCUGUUGAGCAGUCGGUCGCUCCAGCUUCCCUGUGCUGUGUUUCUUAAAGGCCCGUGCUUGGAUUGUCAGGGUCUCAUACACACAGAUGGGCUGGGCUGGCCAGUGAGUCACGCAGGACAACCAGAAUCUCUUUCCUUACUGUAGCAGGGACGCAGCCCCAGCCUGUCAUCUAGGGCAGAAUGACUAGGGGUGUCUCCCUUUCUUGUGUUGUCCUUUUCUGUCAUUACUGUGUGUGGUGUGUGCCUGCGUGUGCCUGUGUGUGCUUUGCAUGCUGUCCUUCGGCUCACCUUUUUUCAAUUUUAAAGAUUAAUUUAUUUUAUAUGUGUGGAUGUUUUGCCCGCUGUGUGUCUGAACCACAUCCAUGUCUAGUACCUGUAGAGGCCAAAAGACGGCAAUGGAUCCCAUAGGACUGAAGUUACAGUUCACUGUGAGCUGCCACGUGGGUGCUGGGAGUGGAACCCAGACCCUCUGGAAGAUCAAUCAGUGUUCUUAACUGCUGAGCCAUCCCUCUAGCCCCUCCAUUUUUUAAAAGAUAGUUAAUUAGGACAGGGUCCCAGUAUAUAUCCCUGGCUAAACUGGAACAGACAGAUCUAUCUGCCUCUGCCUUUUGAGUUCGCCACCACACCUGGCUCCAUCUUGGUUUUUUUUUUUUUUGGUUCUUUUUUUCGGAGCUGGGGACCGAACCCAGGGCCUUGUGCUUCCUAGGUAAGCGCUCUACCACUGAGCUAAAUCCCCAGUCCCCCCCCCCUUUUUUUUGUUUCCUGUUUUAUUUCUGUUUUGAGAUGGGGUGUCUCACUGAAUCCGGGUCUCUCCAGUUCAGUUAGACCAGAUAGCCUGCAAACCCUCAAGCUCCUAGGUUUGUCCCAUUUUCAUCUCCCCAGUCCUGGGGUUACAUUAAUCAUGAUAACUUGUCCUUUCUGUGAGUGCUGGGCGUUCGAACUCAGGACCUCCCAUUUGCAUGGUAAGCAAUUUGCUGUCUGGGCCUUCUCUCUAAUCUUCUCUCCUUACUGGAAAACCUUUGGUCACCUGUUCUUUUCCUGGAACUUGUUACUUAGUAUCUGAGCUGGCUGCAGGUGGGUGGUUGAAUUGCAUGGGAACCUCAUGAUUUAGUGGACUGAAGCUUACGGGGGGAUGUUCCAGCGUCUCCCUGAGAUGGCCACGUCUGACUUAAUCCUGUGUUUCCAUGAAAGUGUCUUCAUUUUCUGUCAAUCUUCCAUCUCCUCUUCCCUACACGAUUCUCCGUGCACCAGUGGAUGUACAGCUUUUGGUUGGGGUGAGCAUAUAUUUCUUGGCUACAGCUGGAGUACUAGGAGCUUUAGGCAUGUGUUGGCUGGGACAUGUGUACGUGCAUACACAUGGGCAUACACACAUGGCUGUCACUGUGUCCCAGAGUGCAUCAGUGGCAUGUACGUUGGAGGCCAGGUGGCGUCUGGGCCCCUGUUGCUCCUUCUUGUCUCCAUGGUGUCAUGGAUGAGUUUCAGCGCUGGGCCUUCCUUUCAUUGCCAGAUAUACGAACAGGGCUGUCUGUGUGGCUGUCUACAUGUCACAGCUAUUGUGCUGCUUGUGUACAAAGUCCUAAGCCUGUAUCCUCCAUCCCAUUCUCCCCUGCUUUGGCUUCCAGCGUGGCUCUUCCUUUGCCCUGCACUAUCUGCCUGGGUUCACUUCUCCACUCACACCUCUCCCAUACCAGGUCCUUUGUGCCUCUGUGGUCUCCCCACAUCUCCUUUCCAGACCUCUGUCCCUAUUGUUAAAGCGCCUCUCUCCCAGCAUCCUUCCUUCAUCUGUUUCCCCUUUGGACACACGUGGCUUCAAAGAGAAGCUGGUAGGGUAAGAAGGAGGAGAAUGAUGUGGUGGAGAAGCUGAACCUCUUCUUGGAUUUGCUGCAGUCCUACAAAGACCUGUGUGAGCGGCAUGAGAAGGGCGUGCUUCACAAGCAUCAGCGAGCACUGCACAAGUACGGC